AAGUCGUAACAAGGUUUCCGUAGGUGAACCUGCGGAAGGAUCAUUAUUGAAUAAACCUGAUGUGACUGUUAGCUGGCUUUUCGAAGCAUGUGCUCGUCCGUCAUCUUUAAUCUCUCCACCUGUGCACAUUUUGUAGUCUUGGAUACCUCUCGAGGCAACUCGGAUUUUAGGAUCGCCGUGCUGUAAAAGUCAGCUUUCCUCUCAUUUCCAAGACUAUGUUUUUAUAUACACCAAAGUAUGUUUAAAGAAUGUCAUCAAUAGGAACUUGUUUCCUAUAAAAUUAUACAACUUUCAGCAACGGAUCUCUUGGCUCUCGCAUCGAUGAAGAACGCAGCGAAAUGCGAUAAGUAAUGUGAAUUGCAGAAUUCAGUGAAUCAUCGAAUCUUUGAACGCACCUUGCGCUCCUUGGUAUUCCGAGGAGCAUGCCUGUUUGAGUGUCAUUAAAUUCUCAACCUUCCAGCUUUUAUUAGCUUGGUUAGGCUUGGAUGUGGGGGUUGUGGGCUUCAUUAAUGAGGUCAGCUCUCCUUAAAUGCAUUAGCGGAACUUUUGUGGACCGUCUAUUGGUGUGAUAAUUAUCUACGCCGUGGAUGUGAAGCAGCUUUAUGAAGUUCAGCUUCUAAUCGUCCAUUGACUUGGACAACUUUUGACAAUUUGACCUCAAAUCAGGUAGGACUACCCGCUGAACUUAAGCAUAUCAAUAAGCGGAGGA
rnacentral:rRNA from 1 species